UUCUUAUUGAUGGCUGCAUCAGUGUGGAAACAGAAUCCUGGAACAACUCAACAGGUCCCUGUAUUAUUUAAGAAGUACUUGCAAUCCCUGAACAUCUUCACAUCAGCUCACUCCUUCUCUGGAAACUAGCUUGUACGAAAAAUGCACAAAAAAGCAAAUACCUUCUCUGAAACUAGCUUGCUUGAGAGAUACACAACACAACUUGGUGUUUACACUACUCCAGGUCUCUGCAUCAUUGCUCGAUCUAA